ensembl:lncRNA
GUUAACAAUGGGUGAGAUAAACAGCUAAAAGCUAUAAUCAGUAAUUGCAAAAAGGAGAAAACUUUAGUACCUAGAUACUUAAUCAUCAACGGCUGUUUGCUGGUUUCAAUCUCUGUUUGUUUUGUUCUAUAUAUAUCUAUGUCCAUUAGAGAUAUGAUAUUUUUCAACCACUGGAUGGUAUUACCAAAAUUAGUUUCUAAAAGAGCUCUAUAUAAUUGGCUUAAGGAUUCCUGACAGCCUAACCAGGUGAUUAAAGAAGGUCAUCUCCUGCCUGGUGCAGAAACCUCAAGAUAUGUUGGGAGUCUCAAGAAGAGAGGCAUUCACCCAAAUCUAUAGGUAUUACAGGCAGAGUGUGAUGAAUCAUUGAGAACUAAAGCUUCCUUUUCCUGGAAGCCCUGUGAGCUGAAGCUGAACAAGUUGAUAUAAACUUAAGAGCGAUCACCACAAUAGCCUGUGUUUAGAGAAUCUCCAUGCCUGUUUCUGUGUAAGUCACUCAGAAAGUUUGCCUGAACACCCAAUAACAUCAUCAGAGACAUUUCAAACUGCAAAAGAUGCUUCAACCCUGACAUCUAGAAAUCUUGACUGACAUCCCCCUAGGUUCAGAAACUUAUUUACAAUUUGCUCCAACCAUUAACCACUGUUUUUAUUUGUUUCCAUAGAAAUGCCUCUUAUUAAAUACCUGAUUGCUGACAUUGUAGACCUAACUUUGAGAAUCUACCUGCAUCACCACCUCCUGAAAUGAGACACAAUUGUUUAACUUAACUGACUUAUUUUUAAGACUAAAAGAUUAAUUUAAUGACAUAAUGGAGCAGUCUGCCAGCUCAUAUUUUAAUAUGUGAAACUUCCAGGGAAGUUUCAGAGGGGGGAACUGUUGGAGCCCAGGAAAGGCUGCCCCAAAAUAUGUCACAACAACAUACUGAUUAUUUUAAACUAAAGUUACUUGUUCUGGCUUAAAUUUUUGACCCUCCUCUCUGUUCCCCCUGAAAGCAGGGAAUAAAUCUCCUGUGUGAAAUGUACCCUCCCCACACCAAGAGAUAGAGACAUCCUUAUCACCAAAGUUAGGGAAUUCAGGAUUGAGAAGCCUGUAUAAACAAACAUUGUUACUUUUACUAAUUUACUACCUCAAGCCUAAACUCUGCUCAAAUUCCUCACUAAUUACAUACCCUAAACCUAAGUUUUUUUAUUCUGUCAUUUCCUCACAAAUUUAUUGUUUCUUUGUAUAAAAAGAUAUAUAGAAACUGCCUGCUUUGUUCACUUGGAGGGCAUCAUUUCUCUAUGAUCUCCUGUGUGUACAUAGUAAAUUGGUUUUUCUCCUGUUAAUCUGGUCUUACGUCAACUUUAUUAUUAGUCCAGCCAUAAGAACUCAAGAGGGGUAAAGGAGAGAGAUCUCCCUCCCUGACAGAUGUUAACUAAACUUCUUGUGGUAAUUAGUUUGUAAUAUAUAUGUAUAUCAAAUCAUUAUGUUGUACACCUGAAGCUAAUACAAUGUUAUAGGUGAAUUAUAUUGCAAAGAAAUUUUUUAACAGUAAAACAGACUGAGAUGGUGAGAUCUAAUAUUUUUUAUUGGCAAGUGCAAAUUUAGUUCAUACAUGAAAUAUGUUACUAAAUUUGACUAAUAUUUAAAUUGAAAUGUAUUCUUUCUUUAAGGUGUGUUUGAAACUAUAGACUGAAUCCAGAAAAUAAUGAUUACUACUGGAUAUUACCAGAUUGUUACUAAAAGUAAUUUUGUUGUAUUGCAGAGUGGGGCAUUGUUAAAAAUGAUCCAUUCCAGGUGUUAAUUAUGUAAGGUUCAUCUUGGUCUUAAAUCUCAAAUAAUUUGCUUUCUAUCUCCGUUUCUGGGAGGCAUCCAGUUGCCGACAGUCACUCAAGAAAGGAAGGAAGGCUCUCUUUAUUACCAAACUGGAUCCUGCUUUAGAGAAGCUGGGAGAGUAGUGCUGGGCUGGGAAAAGCUUCUCAGAGGUGGAGAAAAUGCGAUCGGCAGUUCCAGCAGAGCAUGUGGGCUCUCUCCCGCUUCCUCCAGCACUGGGGCCAGAGGAGACCAUGCUCCAGUUUCCUAAUCCUCUCCAAGGCCAAGCUCAUCUUGCUUCUGAACCUUCCCUUCAUUUAAGGAGGCCCUGUUUGGGAAGAUCUUAGAGCACCUAACAAAUAGCAACUUUGGUCUGUGAGCUAGAGAGGCGUUCCAUUUGUGCAUCCAAGACAGAAGAGCAGGGUCAGGGAGGGACUACCCAUUGAAAGUCCCCGGUGAGUGUGUUCUGGCUACAACCUCACCCAUGAUAUAUGCAUCUGGUUAAAUCUAGGCAUAUGCUUCAAGAGUGGUAUAAUUUCAUCCCUCCUCUCUGCCAUGGAAUUUGGUCAGUUUUUACCCUUUGAAAGAAACUGACAAUGUUUCUGUCCCUUCUUGUUCACAUUGUUGCAAUGUUUCUGUUCCUGUGGUUUGUAGUGGAAGCAAAGUUCCCACCCCCAAAUUGGAAGGCCUCUGGAAAAGCAACAACAUCCCUUCGUUACUAGCAGUAUAGCCAACAGUUACUAGCAGUAUAGCCAACUCCAUUCCCCAAUAGCCUCCAAGCUAGUAACAACUAUUACCGUUUACUAAGGAUAGAACUGCAUGUCAAACAGUUGUAUCUGCUUCAUUUCUAAUUCUUGCAGUAACUUCAACUUAUAGGCGAAGAAACUAAAGCCCAGAGAAGUCAAGCAAAGUUGCUCAACCUCACCCAGCUAAUGAUAUGAACGGCAAGCCCACAUGUAGGGCUGAUGGAGUGCUGGGCACUCCUCCAGGCAUAGUAUAGAAAUGAGCUCAUUAUUCCUCCCUUACGUCUUUUUUUCAAAGUUUUUGUAAAUUAUUUUUGAUUGUUGCAAAAUCCAUAUAACAUAGAAUUUACCUUCUGAACCAUUUUUAAAUGUACAUCUCCAUGGCAUUAAUUGCAUGCACAUUGUCGCGCUAGCCUCACCACCAUCCAUCUCAGGAAUUAUUUUCAUCUUAUAAAAGUGAAACUCUGUACCCAUUAAAUAAUAGCUCCGCAUUCUCUCCUCCCCUCUUCCCCCAAAUAUUUUAAGGCAGAUACUAUUAUUAUCCAACCCCACCCUACAGAUGAGGAAACUGAGACCCAGAGAGAUUCAGUAACUUUCCCAGAUCACAGCUAGUAUGUGGCAGAGCUGUAAUUCACAGCUAGACAAUCAGGCUCCGGAAGUCCAGUGCUUAGCCACUCUAGGGCCCCAGGGACAUCUAACAGUGUUAUGCUAUACUGUCUUUCUGCUAUUAACCUAUCCAGAAGACCAAGAAACGGGGGCCUAGAAAGUUGAAACAAAUUGCAGAUAAAUCCUUGUAAAGGCAGAAGAGGGAUUUGCAUUCAGACCCCGUGGAUCUCAAGCUGCUUAGCCUGUGGCUUCCUGCAGGAUGAUUAGAUUAGAGCAGCGACCAUAUGCCCCUUGAGUCCUGCUCUCUGCUUCCAUCCAUACCCCAAAGCAGCUCAGGUCCUCCCCCCUCAGUCCUGUGUGAAGUCAUGGGCUCCAGCUUGCUUGUGAUGAAGGAAGUGAACUGCAGGUUCUGGCCAGUGAGUAGUAGGCUGGGCCCCAACUGGGACAUCCUGACUUGACCCUUCUGUACCCUGAGGGGAUGCUGUCUGUGCUAGAAUAGCCUGUGCUCUCCAUAGCUGCUGAGGAAGCCCCUCUUCACCUUUCCAGGCCAGAACUUACCUCUCUCACACCUCUGUCACCUAUCUAACACUGAAUGGAAGACCAGCUGGACCCUUACCUAGCACCUGCAUUCAAGUGGGUGGCGUCAAGGAGGUAGCACUGUCCUGCACACACGUUUCACAUCCUCAUCCUUAUUUACUUCUUCUAGCUUUUUCUUCCUGUUUCCAGCCCUUAAAAUGACCAGCCCUGAGGAAGAGCAGCUUCACUAUGACAGUUGAUAGGAGGUUUUUCCAGUUGAUCAAUGUCAGCUUGGCACCCUUCCUGGGUAAGGUAGAACCUUAGAGCUCUAAUUCGUCAGCACAUUCUAUGAGCUUUCCCCAGAAUAAAUGCCACCACUAACCUCUGCUCACCCCUCCACGAACAACACCCUAGUCCAAGCCCCAUGUUCCUCGCCUGGCGAGCACUCAGACCCCUCUCAACCCUGACACCUCCCAGGCACAAGUGGCCAGAGUCAGCCUUUAAAAAGUCAGUCAGAGCCUCUAAGAUCAGGAACAAGACAAGGACGCUCACUUUCACCACUUAUAUUCAGCAUAGUACUGGAGUUCUAGCUGGAGCAAUUAGGCAAUAAAUAAAUAAAUAGAUAGCAUCCAAGUGGGAAAGGAAGAAGUAAAAUUAUCUCUGUUCACAGGCGACAUGAACUUGUAUGUAGAAAACCCUAAAGAUUCCACAAAAAUCUGUUAGACCUAAUAUACUCAUUUAGCAAAGUUGAAUCAACACACAAAAAUCAGUUGUAUUUCUAUACACUAACAAUGAACAAUCUGAAAAGGAAAUUAAUAUAACAAUGCUACUUACAAUAGCAUCAAAAAGAAUAAAAUACUUCAGGAAUAAACUUAACUAAGGAAGUGAAAGACUUGUACACUGAAAACUAUAAAACAUUGCUGAAAGAAAUUAAAGAAGACACAAAUAAAUGAAAAUACACCCUGGUCAUGGAUUGGAAGACUUAAGAUUGCUAAAAUGUCCACGCCACCCAAAGCGAUCUACAGAUGCAGUGCAAUCCCUACCAAAAUACCAACAAGGUUUUUUCAGAAAGAGAAAAACCCACCCUAAAAUUCAUAUGGAAUUUCAAGAACAAAGCUGGAGGACUUAUACUUCCUGAUUUCAAAACUUACUACAAAGCCACAGUAAUCAAAACAGUGUGGUGCUAGUACAAAGAGAGACACGUGGACCAGUAGAAUAGAAUAGAGAGCCUAGAAAUAAACGCUUGCAUAAAUGGUCAAAUGAUUUUUGACAAAAGUGCCAAGACCACUCAAUGGGGAUAAAUCAGUCUUUUCAGCAAAUGAUUGUUGGGAAAACUGAAUAUUGACAUGCAAAUCAUGAAGUUGGACGCUUACCUUUCACCAUACACAAAAUCAAAAGUUAAUUCAAAAUGAGUCAAAGACCUACACACAAGAACUAAAACAGUAAAAUUCUUAGAAGAAAACAUUGAGGGAAAGCUUCACGGUGAGAUUUAUCAGUGAUUUCUUGGAUAUCAUAAGAAACGCAUAGGCAAGAAAAGAAAAAAAUAGAUAAAUCAGCUACAUCAAAAUCUAAACCUUCUGUGUAUCAAAGUACACAACUACUAGAGUGAAAAGUGAACCCAUGAAUGGGAGAAAGUAUUUGAAAAUCAGAUAUCUGAUGAGGGGUUAAUAUCUAGAAUAUAUAAAGAACUCCUACAACUCAAUAACAACAAAACAAAUGAUGCAAUUAAAAAAUGAGCAAAGAACUUGAGUAGACAUUUCUCCAAAGAAGACGAACAAACGACUAACAAACACAUGAAAAGAUGCUCAACGUCACUAAUCAUUAGGGAAAUGCAAAUCCAAACCACAACUAUUAGGAUGGCUAUUAUUAAAAAAAAAAACAACCCAGAAAAUUUGUCAAUAAGGAUGUGGAGAAAUUAGAACCCUUGUGCAUUGCUGGUGUGAAUAUACAAUGGUGCAGCCUCUGUGGAAAACUGUAUGGUGGUUCCUCAAAUAGUUAAAUAUGGAAUUCCCACAUGAUCUAGCAAUUCUACUUCAGGGUAUAUAUUCAAAAGAAUCGAAAGCAGAACUCAGAGAUAUUUGUACACCCAUGUUUAUAGCAGCAUUAUUCACCAUAGCCAAAUGGUGGAGACAACCCAAAUGUCCAUUAAUAGAUGAAUGGAUAAAAUAAAAUGUGGUAUAAUCCGUAAAAUGGAAUAUUAUUCAGCCUUAAAAAGGAAAGAAAUUCUGACACAUAUGACAACAUGGAUGGACCUUGAGAACAAUAUGCUAAGUGAAAUAAACUAGUCACAAAAGGAUAAAUACUGUAGAUUCCACUUAUAUGAGUUACCUAGAGUAGUCAUAUUCGUAGAAACAGAAAGCAGAAUGGUGAUUGCCAUGACCUGAGGGGAGGAGGGAAUGGGGAGUUGCUUAGUAGAUACAGAGUUCCAGUUUUUCAAUAUGUAGAGAGUUCUGGAGAUGGAUGGUGGUGAUGGUACACAACAAUGUGAAUAUACUGAACCAUAUACUUAAAAAUUAUUAAGAUGGGAACUUUAUGUUAUAUGUAUUUUACAACAAAAAAGAAAAGUCAAUCAGACCAUUUUGCAUGACGUCUCUGAGUCCCUCGUGGUUUUCCACCUCACUCAGAAUAAAAUCCAAACUCUGUCCCUGAGCUGAGAGGGCCCCAGGUUCAGCCACACAGGCUCUGCUUUCCCUGAACGUGCCCAGUACAUCCCGUCUUGGGGCCCUUGCUCUUCCUCUUUGUUCCAUCUUCAUGGCAGGCUCUUUUCCCAGAUAAUUGCAUGGCCCAUUCCUUUAUUUCAUUCAGGACUCCACAUAAACAUCACUUCCUUUGACCAUUAUAUUUAACAUAGCACAUCCCUCAAACCCCGUAUCAUACUUUAUUUUCUUCACAACUUUCUUCAGUAUCUGGCAUUAUCUUAACCAUUCAUUAAUGUCUUUAUUGUCUGUCUCCAUCACUAAAAUGAGAACUCCACAAGGCUAGAGACUUUGCCUUGCUCAUUUCUGUGUCCCCGCUGCCUAGAACAGUGCUGGCCCACAGUAGAUGUUCAGUAAAGAUGAGUCAAAGGGACUAAUGAAGGAAGAAUACUGCACAACAGACAUGUUGGUGAAAUUGGUGGAGGAGGUAGAACUGGGAGCUACCAAACGGUGGAAUCAGGAUCCCAAAAGACCUCGAGAGGUUGGUAUGCUGGGCUAAAGUCAUACAAUGAAAUUUAACAAGGGUACUUGUAAAAAGUUGCACUUAGGUCAACAGCACAAAUCAGCACAGGAUGAAGAGGAAAUGGCUUGAGAGCAGCAGCAUCACUGGCAGACUUGGAAGCUGCACGUCAGCAGGGAGCUGGCAAUGGGGUCGAUGAGGUCUGCAGGAAGACGCUGUGGUCUUAGCCCACGUUGGAAGAACAGAGUGAUCUGGCUUCUGUCCUUUGUGUGGGAUACUCCAUGGGGCAGUCCCGUCAGGCUGGGGCUUUACGCUUUAAGUAGACAGAGGUUAUUCAACUCCAUUCUGAGCACAAUGACCAGAAUAGCAAAGGCAUUCAAAAUCACAUCCUAUAAGAAAGAAUAGAAGGAUCUGGAAACAGUUAGCCCAUAGAUGGUAGAUCUGGAAGCCAGAUAGAGCUAAGUCAAAUUCUGGUUCUGACUUUUAUUAGCUGCAGCACAUGGACAAAAUUCUUAACCUCCAUGGUCCUUAGUUGUCCUAUCAUCAAAGCUAGUGUUGUAAAAGGUAAAAUGUAACUGCUUGGUAAGUACAAAGUUAUCAUACACAGGGACCCUUACCCCCACAGAAAAUCUGAAGAGUCAUCCGUUUAAAAUAUAUAUCCAAUUGUCUUCACUGAAAUUGUCAAUGAAAUGUCCUUUACCAGAGUUCAAACAUCAUACGUAAAUUUACCAUGUAAGUUUAAUGCCCCCUUUUGGUGAAUUUUUUUAUCCGUGGUGGGAUCUCAAUUUGAGGCAACACGUAUCUGAUCAAAACUAAAACUAGGUUACCAGAGGGGAAGGGGAGGAGGCAGGAGGGUAAAAGGGGUGAUUAGGCACAUGUGUGCGGUGAUGGAUUGUAGUUAGACUUUGGGUGGUGAACAUGAUGUACACAGAACAUAAUCAGCACAGAAUUUGAAAUAUAUCAUGAUGUACACCCAAAAGUUAUAUAAUGUUAUAAUCCAAUGUUACUGCAAUGAAAAAAAAUUAAAAGAAUUAAGACUAAAUAUACGUGAUGGAAUAUCACGAUAAUAGGAGCAGAUGGAAUAUCGAGAACAGAAAUAGCUCCAAACAAAUAACGUCUUUUGUGUCUCUUCUGUUAGGUUGUUUGUAACCUAAAACAGUUCUGUCCUGGACAGUCUUGAUCCAGCAACCUUAGUAGAUCCCAUGCUUGCGUCUUGACCAAAUUCAUCUUGAAGAGCUUGGUUUUAAAUAACCUGUAGGUUGUACCAUUCAAGAGUCUUACAUUUGGGAGCACAGAGUUAAUUUGCUCUCUGGUGGGUACUCAAGGGUCUGCUCCCCGUCGAGCUGCUGCAGUGUGUAAGAGCAGGCUCAAUGGGUGUCCUUCCACUGGGAUCUGAGUGCUAUUUUUUCUUGGUAUUCCUCUUGUCUCUGGUUUGUAGUCCAUGGCGUGGUCCUCAGUGAGGGGUCAGGGGCAAGACAAGGGCAGCUUGCUGAUGAGAACACUGGCCAGCUCAGUCUAGUUUUUACAAAAGUGGACAACGUCAGAAUGUAACAGCUGAGAUUAGGGUGGCCAUACAACAUGCGAGCCAAACUAGGACACUUUUGAGAGUGAAGUGAGGGGGUGGGUAUGAAGAAUUAUGCUGGCACAAUGUGUUAGUCAGGGCUCUCCGGAGAAACAGAACAAAUAGGAAAUAGAUAUAUGUAUAAAUUAGAAGAAAUUUGGCUUAUGUUGUUGUGGAGGUUGAGAAGUCCCAAAUCUUCAGUCAGUGAGCUGGAGACCUAAUGAUUGGUGGUGGUGUAGUUUCAGUUCAAAUCCAAAGGCCUGAGAACCAGGAGAGCCAACAAGCGUAAGUUCCAGUCUGAGGGGAGGAGACCAAUGUCCCAGCUCAGUCAGGCAGAGAGAGACAGAAAUAGGGAGAGAAUUCUGCCUUAUUUGCCCUUCAUUGUUGAGGCCUUCAACUGAUUGGAUGAGGCCCACCCAAUUAGGAGUGCAAUCAGCUUUACUCAGUCUAUGGAUUCAAAUCUUAAUCUCUUCCAGAAACACCCUCACAGAUACACCAAAGUAACAUUUAACCAAAUAUCUGGGCAUCCUGUGGCCCAGUCAAGUUGACACAGAAAAUUAACCAUUACAGACAACAAGCAGAAACCAGGACUGGAAAAACUAAGAUAGAUGGUCACCCCAAGCAGAGUUCUCUAACGGGGAUAUAACACUAAAAUGCAGAGGUCUUCGAAGAACUGUUUCAAAAGGAUUCAUUAUUUUUCUUGUGCAGAGGAACGAAUUCUCAUGACUAUAAAAGGUGAAAGAGAAGACCAAGACAUUUCUGUUUCACCUACUGGAUCAGCCAGCUUGUUUUUGACAGUUGUAGCAACCUGUUUCACUUUUCCCAGGUUUGGGAAAGGUGGAUGUAGAUAUGGGUAGUAAAACUGUGAAGUGGCCCCAGUAGCCUGCCUGAUAGCUAGAGGAACUUGUCCGUUAAGCGAGGCUCUGUGCGAGGGGUGCACUGAAGGCCUUCUCCAGGUGGGGCCGAACGACAGACUGUGCUGAUGUCUUUGCAACAGGACAAAGGGGUGCUUUGCCCCAGGGGAGUGACUUCACCCACUCUGAAAAUGUCCCUCGCUCGGAGGACGUGUUCGGUAAGUGCAGGAGUCCAAUUCACGUGGCCUCGAUGGUGCUGCUCAGUGAGUCUGCCACACCUGGCGGAUACCCUAGGGUUAUGCUGGUUGGAGGUGAGACAACUAGUCAUAUGAAGGAAGAUUUGAUAAAACUGCUGCACCCCUGGGUGGUCUUGUACUCAGGUGCUGCUUCUCGCCUUUCCGGGCUCUGCACGUUCCCAGAGCCCAGGGUAUGUGUAUUCAUUCUGGGCACCACCAGGUGGCUGCUUGGGGGAAAUUAAAGAUGGGGGGAUUCCCAAAAACCCCUGUCAGGGUCUUAAUUUGGGGCUGGAUCUUGGAAACAGCAACUAAAACUAAACUAAAAACUAGAGGAAGGGGAUUUUUUAGGGCAGGUAAACUAUUCUGUGUGAUACAAUAAUCGUGGACACACGUCAUUAUACAUUUUUCAAAACUCAUAGAAUGUACAACACAAAGAAUGAACCCUAACGUAAACUAUGGAUUUUAAUUAAUAAUAACGUAUCAAUACUGGUAAAUCACUUACAACAAAUGUACCACACUAAUACAAGACGUAAAUAACAGAGGAAACUGUAGGGUUGGUGGGGUAGAAGGAGCAGAUGGAAACUCCGUAAACCUAAAACUACUCUGAAAAAUAAAGUCUAUUAAUUAAAAAACUAAACGAGACAGAGAGGAAUUGUCAGUUUAUUAAGAUAAAAGCAAAGGUGUCAGAAAAUAAGAAAUGUUCAUUGUCUUGGCUGUGUUAUUAACUAGCCUAAUAUAUUUUGUAACAGCCACGCCUGAAGCUAAUAUUACAAGCAUUACGAUUUUACAUCAAGUUGGGAAGUACCCAAAAGCUGAAUCCGAGUCCGUACAGAUUUUUCCAGAAGCCAGAGGACACCCCAGGGUGAGGAUCAUCUCCACCCGCUCUGUCUCAGGCACAGAAGGAAAAUGACGUGUCUCCGCGGGGUGCGAAGAGCAAGCUGCGCCGCUGGGAGCCCGCGGUCCCCUGCUCCAUCAGCCGGGCGCCUCUGGGUCAGUCAUUGUGGUGAAGCUGGGACCCGGCUUCCAGUGGGGCUACACUGCAUGGCCCCAGGCUAAUUCGGUACAGGUGCUGUGCCGCUGCGUUGGGGCCCCCUCCCUGCAGGCUCUGACGGGCCACCACCUCGUCCUCCCCAGGGCUUCUCCCAUGCCUUGGCGGAAUGGCUUUGUGCCCCAACAAUGUGUAAAUGCCGAUGCUAUUUAACCCUUUGAAACUCUAAUUUUAUAAACAUAAUUCAUCUUAUCAAUCAUGCUAUUAUACAAUGUUUAUAAUAGAUCUAUUUUCUCUAUCUUCAUUGAGCAUCAUAAAGAUAUGUACGUUUCUA